AUGGCGGCUGGGAGGAGUGUAAGAUAUCCUGACCAUGAACUGAGAGACCAGGAAUCGAAUUCUAGAUUUUCCAGGCGGGAUAGUGCUUACUCUAAUGAGGAUUAUGACCAUGUUAGGAACGGUACUCUUGAUAAUGAAAAGGGACGGGUUAGUAAUCCAAGACACGGGGAUAGCGGUAAAGAUAGAGAUAUGAUUAGGUCCGGAGCUAGACAGAAAGAGAGAGGAAUAGUUAAUAGUGGGUCUCGCUUAUCGAAGAGCAAUCCAGGUAUUAGGGAAGUCUUUAUGGAUCGUGGUCCUAAAAGAUGUGGGUUUUCAGCUAGGUCUGUGGAUAGGGAACCAGGUGAGCUCUCUAGUGAGAGUGGGUCGGAUGAUUUGAUUGAAUCUGAAUCACUGGUGAAAAAUAAUGGUGUUGUGAAGCAGGUAGAGAAUACAGCUCAAAGCCCUGUUGAAAAGAAGAGAAAGUUUUCACCAAUAAUAUGGGACAGAGAUGACCAUGAAAGAAGUAAUUUGAGCAGAAAUGAAAAACCUGUUGAGGUCACUCCUCCUCCUCCCCCACCACCACUAAUCAAGAGGUCAAGCCAGUCACUUAGGGUCGGAUGUGAUGACAAUUCUCCAUUUUCACCUGCAAAGAGUAAUAUGCAUCAAGAUCCCGUGCAAGUUAGUGAUUCUGCGGUUUCUGUGCCUGCUUUAUCACCUUCGGUAGAGAUGUCUUCUUUGUGUAUGGUAGAACAAUCAUCAAAUGCUGGGCAGGAUGGCAAACAAGAGGAUGCGGCACACCUGGAAGAGGAGGAAAACAUGCCAACCAGGCAUAUAUCAUCCUCUAGGUGGGCAGCUGGCAACAGUUCUCCAAAUGAUGAAGGUGAAGUAGUAGAAGAAGUGGGGGCAAAGAAAAGGAGCAAAAAGCCAUUUCCCGUGCAGGGGAGAUUGCGCAAUAAGUCUCAAACACCUGAGGUCGGGGAGUUAGUGAGAGAAGGUUAUAGAUCAUCUGAUUCCGAUGAAAGGGGGCACCAUUCUUUGCCAAAAAGUAGAGAUGAUUUUAAGGAGAAGGAUGCUGUUAAGGGUGCCAAGAUGGAUAUAGAUGAGGAGGAACACAGAAGAGGAAACUCUAGUUACAGCCUUAGUGAAACAGAUUCGGAUGAUGAAUAUGUUCGGCAUGAGACACCUGAACCUGCCAGUAUCCCACUGAGAAGUAUAAACAUGCUCCAGGGUUGUAGAAGUGUUGAUGAAUUUGAGAGAUUAAAUAAGAUAGAUGAAGGUACUUAUGGUGUUGUUUAUAGAGCAAAGGAUAAGAAGACAGGCGAUAUAGUGGCAUUGAAGAAGGUGAAAAUGGAAAAAGAAAGAGAAGGCUUUCCAUUGACUUCUCUAAGGGAGAUUAAUAUACUUCUUUCGUUUCAUCAUCCAUCAAUAGUGGAUGUUAAAGAGGUGGUCGUGGGUAGUAGUCUUGAUAGCAUUUUUAUGGUGAUGGAAUACAUGGAGCAUGAUCUUAAAGCAUUGAUGGAUUCAAUGAAGCAGCGUUUCAGUCAGAGUGAAGUUAAAUGCUUAAUGCUUCAACUUUUAGAGGGCGUCAAGUAUCUUCACGACAACUGGGUGCUUCAUCGAGAUUUGAAAACAUCUAACCUGCUUUUAAACAAUCGGGGUGAGUUGAAGAUAUGUGACUUUGGUUUGGCUCGGCAAUAUGGCAGCCCGCUGAAGCCGUAUACUCAUCUGGUUGUUACGCUUUGGUACAGGGCACCUGAACUUCUCUUGGGAGCCAAACAAUAUUCUACGGCCAUUGACAUGUGGUCACUAGGCUGUAUCAUGGCAGAACUAUUAUCGAAGGCGCCAUUGUUCAAUGGGAAAACGGAGUUUGAUCAACUUGACAAGAUUUUCAGAAUCCUUGGUACUCCCAAUGAAACCAUUUGGCCUGGGUUCUCCAAGCUGCCUGGAGUCAAGAUCAACUUUGUCAAGCAUCAGUAUAACCUAUUACGUAAGAAAUUCCCAGCCACUUCAUUCACUGGCGCCCCAGUUCUGUCCGAUGCUGGGUUUGACCUGCUGAACAAGCUCCUAACGUAUGAUCCUGAGAGGAGAAUAACUGUUGAUGAAGCUCUAAAGCAUGAUUGGUUCCGUGAAGUCCCUCUGCCAAAAUCGAAAGAUUUUAUGCCUACUUUCCCUGCUCAACAUGCCCAAGACAGGCGUGGGAGGAGAAUGGUAAAGAGCCCUGAUCCUUUGGAAGAGCAACGUAGGAAGGAAUUAACACAAACCGAACUUGGGUCUGGUGGUCUGUUUGGCUGAAGUGUUGCGCACCUGUUGAAGAUAGCAUUUGGAAUACAACCUUGAUACUCUCAACCACAAUUUAGGCGAGGGCUACUGCUUAAGCGGAGGUUGGAACAUUUGUAUCUCAGAAUAUCAUUUAUGCUUUCUUUACUCACUUUGAGGGUCCAUGGUGAUUUGUGAAGGUGAUUUUCCUCCUAUCGCCACAGAGAAUCCUUGCAGGUUUAAUGUGUUCACAAGCUAGGCUGGUCAGUUAGUAGUGCUAUGGCUUUCUGACAGUGCUUGUUCUGUAAGAAACACUGGUGUUGAAGUGGAGGUGAGACUCUUCUUGUCUUGAAGAAGAAUUGACGCGAUUGCUGAUACAUCUCUGCGAGGUAAUGUAUAGUCCUGAUGCUUGUAGGGUUGAACUUGAUCUUUUUUGUAUUCCACUAAAACCUCGGAUAUAUGGUUCUCUGAGAUAAGAUGGUUGCUCUGUAACUACAAGUGUUAUAGUUUCUGGUUUGUAGGGUUAGCAAUUUUCUGCAGAUUCCUUUUUCUACUUUGAUUGCCUAGGAGUUCAUGAAAGCAAUUUUAGUAAAUCCUGGGGACUAUCGGCCGGGAUUAGCUAUCCUAAGAUCUCUGAAAUAAACUUUAGCCCCACUUUCUUUGCAGUUUGCUGAUUGACUGCAACGUGCUAGAAACCAUUUGUUAGGUUUUCCGUAACAAUGUUGAAGUAAUGUUUGUCUCAAUCUUAAUAGUAGCAUAUGCUCGGAAGUGAUAACAAGUGAUUUGUGAUAGGAGUUAUCUUAAAUCAACCAAGCUCUUGCAUC